AUUGAACGCUGGCGGCAGGCCUAACACAUGCAAGUCGAGCGGAUGAAGGGAGCUUGCUCCUGGAUUCAGCGGCGGACGGGUGAGUAAUGCCUAGGAAUCUGCCUGGUAGUGGGGUAUAACGUCCGGAAACGGGCGCUAAUACCGCAUACGUCCUGAGGGAGAAGGUGGGGGGUCUUCGGACCUUACGCUAUCAGAUGAGCCUAGGUCGGAUUAGCUAGUUGGUGGGGUAAAGGCCUACCAAGGCGACGAUCCGUAACUGGUCUGAGAGGAUGAUCAGUCACACUGGAACUGAGACACGGUCCAGACUCCUACGGGAGGCAGCAGUGGGGAAUAUUGGACAAUGGGCGAAAGCCUGAUCCAGCCAUGCCGCGUGUGUGAAGAAGGUCUUCGGAUUGUAAAGCACUUUAAGUUGGGAGGAAGGGCAGUAAGUUAAUACCUUGCUGUUUUGACGUUACCAACAGAAUAAGCACCGGCUAACUUCGUG
rnacentral:rRNA from 1 species